UACAGAGGUCUCAAGCGUUGUUCGGAUUCAUUGGGCGUAAAGGGCGCGUAGGCGGCGCGGUAAGUCGGGCGUGAAAUCUCGGGGCUUAACUCCGAAACUGCAUUCGAUACUGCCGUGCUUGAGGACUGGAGAGGAGACUGGAAUUUACGGUGUAGCGGUGAAAUGCGUAGAUAUCGUAAGGAAGACCAGUGGCGAAGGCGGGUCUCUGGACAGUUCCUGACGCUGAGGCACGAAGGUCAGGGGAGCAAACGGG
rnacentral:rRNA from 1 species